rnacentral:tRNA from 1 species
GCCCCCGUAGCGCAAUGGACAGAGCACUUGACUUCGGAUCAAGCGGUUGUGGGUUCGAAUCCCGCCGGGGGCGCCU